CGGGUGGCGGACGGGUGAGUAAUGUCUGGGAAACUGCCUGAUGGAGGGGGAGUAACUACUGGAAACGGUAGCUAAUACCGCAUAACGUCGCAAGACCAAAGAGGGGGACCUUCGGGCCUCUUGCCAUCGGAUGUGCCCAGAUGGGAUUAGCUAGUAGGUGGGGUAACGGCUCACCUAGGCGACGAUCCCUAGCUGGUCUGAGAGGAUGACCAGCCACACUGGAACUGAGACACGGUCCAGACUCCUACGGGAGGCAGCAUG
rnacentral:rRNA from 1 species